rnacentral:rRNA from 1 species
GACGAACGCUGGCGGCGUGCUUAACACAUGCAAGUCGAACGGAAAGGCCCUGCUUUUGUGGGGUGCUCGAGUGGCGAACGGGUGAGUAACACGUGAGUAACCUGCCCUUGACUUUGGGAUAACUUCAGGAAACUGGGGCUAAUACCGGAUAGGAGCUCCUGCUGCAUGGUGGGGGUUGGAUAGUUUCGGCGGUUGGGGAUGGUCUCGCGGCUUAUCAGCUUGUUGGUGGGGUAGUGGCUUACCAAGGCCUUGACGGGUAGCCGGCAUGAGAGGGUGACCGGCCACAUUGGGACUCAGAUACGGCCCAGACUCCUACGGGAAGCAGCAGUGGGGAAUAUUGCACAGUGGGCGGAAGCCUGAUGCAGCAACGCCGCGUGCGGGAUGACGGCCUUCGGGUUGUAAACCGCUAUCGCCUGUGACGAAGCGUGAGUGACGGUAAUGGGUAAAGAAGCACCGGCUAACUACGUG